rnacentral:rRNA from 1 species
GACGAACGCUGGCGGCGUGCCUAAUACAUGCAAGUAGGACGCAGUUGCGAACGGGUGAGUAACGCGUAUGUAACUACCUAUUAGAGGGGGAUAAAUAUUUGAAACGAUAGCUAAUACCGCAUACUAGUAGAUGGACCUGCGUGGUAUUAGGUAGUAGGUAGGGGAAUGGCCUCCCUAGGAAACGCUACAUAGCCGACCGGGGGGGGGGAUAGGCAAAACGGGGACUGGGACACGGCCCAGACCUCCACGGGAGGGAGGAGUAGGGAAUCUUCGGCAAUUGGGGGAAACCUGACCGAGGAAAGCCGCGGGGGUGAAGGAGGUUUUCGGGUCGGAAAGCUCGGUUGUUAAGGAAGCGGUACUUAACCAGAAAGGGACGGCUAACUACGUGCCAGCAGCCGCGGUAAUUC